GUGCCAGCCGCCGCGGUAAUACCGGCAGCCCAAGUGAUGGCCGCUGUUAUUGGGCCUAAAGCGUCCGUAGCUGGCCGACCAAGUCUCCCGGGAAAUCCACCCGCCCAACGGGUGGGCGUCCGACAGAAACUGCACAGCUUGGGACCGGAAGGCUCGAAGGGUACGUUCGGGGUAGGAGUGAAAUCCUAUAAUCCCGCACGGACCACCGAUGGCGAAAGCACUUCGAGAAAACGGAUCCGACAGUGAGGGACGAAAGCCAGGGUCUCCAACCGGAUUAGAAACCCCGGUAGUCC
rnacentral:rRNA from 1 species